ensembl:lncRNA
CCUGCUCCGGGGAAAGAAACGAAGAGGGUCAGGCGAGCUGGGCUUUCCCCGACCGCUACCAGCGGCGCGGCUCGGGAGCUCGCGGCUCCGCGCCGAGCAGGGACCCCGCCUCCAGGGCCCGUGCAGCGGAGAGCACCGGGCCCCGCAGCACCCCCCUGCCAGGCAGGCUCACGCGGCCGCGGGGGGCGGGCUUCCGGGCCAACCCCUACCGGGUCAGGUCCCGCUCCCUGCGGCCCGGCCAGGCCCGCCCUCAGCGGCUGGACCGGCGCACCAGGGGGCGCUGCCCCGUGACGGCGGCGACCAAGGCGGGGCGGUGCCUUCGCCUCCAAGAGCGGAGGAAGAUGGCGGCGCUGGACUGCCGGUGGCGAUGGUGCCGUUCUACGGCGGGGCUCCGCGGGCCUGUCGCUACCGAGGGCAGCUCCCGCCGCGCUCAGACAGCGGCGCGGCCUCCCCCCGCGGGUGGGUCACCUGCUGCCGGAGCCCAUGAAGCUGUGUCUGCUCUCCCGGGACGGGUGUCCGGUGCGCGAUGAGGCGCCGGCGCUGCCGGAGGGUGUCCCCGCAGGCGAAGGGUCUCCCUCGGGGUCCCUGCGGAAGGCUUCAGCUCUGCGUGCUGGGAAGGCUCAUCCGUGCCAGACCAACAGCAAAUGCCCACCUCGGGGGCAGUGUAGACCCUUCAUGGCAGGAGCUCGACGAACAAGACACGGCAGCAGCCAGCGCUUUCUCAGGAGAAAGCAUCCAGAGGACACCAAGCAGAGCUCUGGAGCUUUGUAGGUGCACUGUGAUUCCGAGAAAACUCCAUGAACAAACUCGCCAACACAGUUUCAAGCUGACAAGCAGGCUCCGGGUCAAAAGGACCAUCCACGUCAGCAUCGGCAUUAUCAGGCGUCAGAACCUCAGGAUCAGCAACAGCAGCCUGAUGAACAUGCACAGGCUCCUUGUCAGGAUCAACAGGGCCUGAGUCAAAAGGAUCAUCUUCACCUCUGCCCAGAGUCUUCGCAGCCGUGGCAGCAAGCGGCGGAGGAUCAGAGGGAGGGCGGGAGGGGACACGGCGGAUGACACUGGACUCCAUGGUCUGGCUUUUGACUUUAACAAAGAAUAACAGAAUCAUAGAAUAGUUAGGGUUGGAAAGGACAUUAAGAUGCCCAGUUCCAACCCCCCAGCCGUCGGCAUGGGCAGGGACACCUCCCACUAAACCAUAUCACCCAAGGCUUCAUCCAACCUGGCCUUGAACACUGCCAGGGAUGGAGCAUUCACAACCUCCCUGGGUAACCCAUUCCAGUACCUCACCACCCUCACAGUAAACAAUUUCUUCCUUAUAUCCAAUCUAAACUUCUGCUGUUUAAGUUUCAACCCAUUACCCCUUGUCCUGUCACUGCAGUCCCUAAUGAAUUGUCCCUCACCAGAAUCCCUGUACGUCCCCUUCAGAUACUGGAAGGCUGCUACGAGGUCUCCACGCAGCCUUCUCUUUUCUAGGCUGAACAGCCCCAACUCAGCCUGUCUUCAUACAAGAGGUGCUCCAGUCACCUAAUCAUCCUGGUGGCCCUCCUCUGGACUUGUUCUAACAGUUCCAUGUCCUUUUUAUGUUGAGGACACCAGAACUGCACACAAUACUCCAAGUGAGGUCUCACGAGAGCAGAGCAGAGGGGCAGGGUCACCUCCUUCCAGCUGCUGGUCACACUUGUUUUGAUGCAGCUCAGGAUACGGUUGGCUUUCUGGGCUGUAAGUGCACACUGAAGCUGGCUCAUGUUCAUUUUCUCAUUGACCAACACCCCCAUGUCCUCCUUCCUCAGGGCUGCACUGAAUUUCCUUUUUGCUCAACCUGUAGCUGUGCCUGGGAUUGCUCAAACCCAAGGGUAGGACCUUGCACUUGGCAUGGUUAAACUUCAUGAGGUUGGCAUCAGCCCACCUCACAAGCGUAUCAAGGUGCCUCUGGAUGGCAUUCCUUCCCUCCAGCAUAUCAACCAAACCACACAGCUUGGUGUUAUCAGCAAACUUGCUGAGGGGGGCACUCAAUCCCGUUCUCCACGUCACCGACAAAGAUGUUGAACAGAACUGGUCCCAACACUGAUCCCUGAGGGACACCACUUGUUACUGGUCUCCAGCCAGACAUUGAACCAUAAAGCACAACUCUCUGUGUGCUGCCAUCCAGCCAGUUCUUUAUCCACCGAGUGCUCCACCUAUCAAAUUGAUGUCUCUCCAAUUUAGAGACAAGGAUGUCAUGUGGGACAGUGUCAAACGCACAUUGGUCAGGCAGGAUUUCCCCUUAGUGAAGCCACGCUGUCUGUCACCAAGCACCUUGUUGUUCUUCAUGCACCCUGGCAUGCCUUUCAGGAGAAUCUGCUCCCAGAUAUUGCCAGGCACAGAGGUGAGACUGACUGGGCUGUAAUUCCCUGGGUCAUCCAUUUUCCCCUUCUUGAAAAUGGGGGUUGUAUUUCCCUUUCUCCAGUCAUUGGGAACUUCAGAAGGAAGUUGUCUUCCACACAAUCGAGAAACCUCCUGGAUUGCUUGUGCCAGGCCGUACCGUGGCUCCAACAGAUGUCAGGGUGGUGGAAGUCCCCCAUGAGAACAAGGGCCUGCAAGUGUGUGGCUGUUCCUAUCUGUCUGUAGAGUUCUUCAUCCACAGCUUCCUCUUGAUCAGGUGGUCUCUAACAUAUCCCCACAGUAAUGUCUCCCAUCACUGAUUUCCCCUUAACCCUGACUCACAAACUUUCUGUUAACUGAUCACCUGUCCCCAGAGAGUGUUCCACACUCUCCAGCCUAUCCCUAAUAUGAACGGCGACUUCCCCUCCCCUCCUACCAGGCCUAUAUUUUCUAAAAAGCCUGUAACCUUCCAUUCCAACACUCCAGUCAAAGGAGCCAUCCCACCAUGUUUCUGUGAUGCCUAUUAUAUCAUACCCCCAGAGAUGUGCCCACAUCUCUAAUUCCUCUUUUUUGUUCCCCAUGCUAAGGGCAUCUGUAUAGAGGCAUCUGAGCUGAGCUCCAAAUGAAGCUGGCUCAUUGGCUGGAGUGGCUAGAAUAUCACCACAUUGCUCCGAGCAUUUAUUAUAGGUGCUGGCAACUGACUGGGUGUGUUGGGAUGGAAUGAUGCUCCCCUCCCCCAACACAACUAGUUUAAAGCAUCCUUGACAAGUCUGGCAAGCCUCCCAGCAAAGCCACUCUUCCCUUUCUUUAUCAGAGCAGCCCCCAGUAGGCCUGGCCUACAGAUUUGGGCCCCAUGUUCUAGUCACCCAAACCCUUGACUAUGACACCACCCUGUUAACUAUUUACUCACCUGUCUAAUCCUCCUAACCUUUGGGAUAUCCUCUGCUGUGUCUUGGAGAAUUGUCGAAAAGACUAUCUGAGCUUCAGAGCCCCUAACCACCUCUCCCAGGGCUCUGUAGUCCUUCUUCAUACUCCUCAGGCUACUCCUAUCAAUAUCCCUAGCACCCACAUCUAUCACUAGAAGUGGGUAAUAGUCCGUUGGACUUGCUAGCAGGCAGCCUCUCAGGAAAUCCCUGAUCCAUGCUCCAGGUAGGCAACACACCUCCCUUGCGACCGGAUCAGGCUGACAGAUGAGCGCUUCUGUCCCUUUCAAGGCAGAGUCCCCUACUACUACAACCCGCUGCUUUUUUUGGCAGCACUAGUAGAGACCUUCUGUACCAGUGCACCAGUUGGUUUUUUCUGAUGCAAGUACAUUUUCUCAUCAGCCCCCUGCAGGACAGCACAUCCGUUCUGGGUGGGUACAGUAGAUUUAGGAGGAAGCCUCUUGCUUUUAAUUGCUCUCUUCCUCCUUUUGUUGUGGGUUUUUUUUUGUUACUAAUUCCCAGCUUCCUGGGUUAACAGCCUCCUUUUUUCCUCCAUGAAUUAGAGGGGAAGGUGGAGGCCACUGCACUGUCUGGGCCUGGAGCAGGCAGUCCUGCUUCCUCUCAGGUCCCCUGACAUCUUGCAGCUUACUGACAGCAUCCUACAGCUCAGCCACCUGCUGCAGGAGAACCGCCAUCAAGGAGCAGCGAGUGCAGCACUGCCCAUUCAGGACCUCUCCCUCCCCAGACCAGACCAGUGCAGGCACUCUCUACACUCCAAGCUCUGCACCGCAACCUCCCCUCUCACCGGCUCUGUCUGGGUGCCUAUGCUGGCCGUCGUCGGGGCAGCCAGGGCAGAGCUCCCAGACUGGGCCCUGGUCAUACGGAGAGUGCUCACCAUCCCGCGCGAACUGCCGCCCAAACCGCCUCAACGCGCUCCUGGUCACUGUGCUCCCUGGCAGGUUUUUAACCACUCGCAGUGUGUGCUGCUCCUCCUGGCUCCGCCCCCAGUGAGUCACCUCCUCGUGGGAGCUGAGCUGCUGGCUCCUGGGCAAGUCCUGUCGAAGACUUUAGGCUCCCUCCUCGAUGGCUCUUGUCGCUCUGAGGUGAGGCUCCUGGGCACUGAUCUCCCGCUGCUAUGCUCUGGUGAUGCAGGCGGCCUCUCUCAAGCUACUCACCUCAGCAACACGAAAGGGACAUUCCCAUCGUAGAGUUAAAAGAUUGCUCUUGCCAGGUCUUAAUUCCCACUACCCAGGGUUAAUGUUAUGAAUUUUAAAGUCUAACGGCAUCAUCUGGGGAAUCCAUCUUUUUCAUCUUAAAUGUUCCAGAGUCUGAGCUAUUGUGGUAAUAAAUCUGAUACUCACCUCUCCUCCUUCAUAACUAGUGGUCUUUUGGGUUGUCAUAAAAGGUAAUCCAGACAUCAUAUCAUAAGGACAUAUCCCUAAAUCCGAUCUGGGUUGCGUUCAAACCCGUAACAAUGCUCAAGGCAAACACUUUACCCAGGACAUUUAGGUCUCAAUUAUUAGUUUAGUUAAUGCUUGUUUCAAGGUUUGAUUCAUUCUUUCCACUCUUCCCGAGCUUUGAGGAUGCCAUGGGGUGUGCAAUUCCCAUUUUAUCCUUAAGGCUUGGGUUACUUGUUGUACAAUUUUUAAUGUAAAAUGUGUUUCCCUGUCAGAGUCAGUUCUGCUAACCAUCCCAUAUCUAGGGAUAAUUAGUUCCAAAACAGCUUUUGAGACUGCAUUUGCUGUAGCCCUGACAACCAGAACUGCUUCCACCCAAUGAGUUAAGUGAUCUACUGUUACUAAUAGGAACUUCCACCUCUGCACAGGAGGGAGUUCA